rnacentral:rRNA from 1 species
GACGAACGCUGGCGGCGUGCUUAACACAUGCAAGUCGAACGGAAAGGCCCUGCUUGCAGGGUACUCGAGUGGCGAACGGGUGAGUAACAAGUGGGUGAUCUGCCCUGCACUUCGGGAUAAGCCUGGGAAACUGGGUCUAAUACCGGAUAGGAGACAUUUUUAGUGUGAUGGUUGGAAAGUUUUUUCGGUGUAGGAUGAGCUCGCGGCCUAUCAGCUUGUUGGUGGGGUAAUGGCCUACCAAGGCGGCGGCGGGUAGCCGGCCUGAGAGGGUGGACGGCCACAUUGGGACUUAGAUACGGCCCAGACUCCUACGGGAGGCAGCAGUGGGGAAUAUUGCACAAUGGGCGCAAGCCUGAUGCAGCGACGCCGCGUGGGGGAUGACGGCCUUCGUGUUGUAAACUCCUUGCGCUAGGGACGAAGCUUUUUGUGACGGUACCUAGAUAAGAAGCACCGGCUAACUACGUG